GAUCCUGGCUCAGGAUGAACGCUGGCGGCGUGCCUAACACAUGCAAGUCGAACGAAGCAAUCAGAAUGAAAUUUUCGGAUGGAUUUCUGGUUGACUGAGUGGCGGACGGGUGAGUAACGCGUGGAUAACCUGCCUCACACUGGGGGAUAACAGUUAGAAAUGGCUGCUAAUACCGCAUAAGCGCACAGUACCGCAUGGUACGGUGUGAAAAACUCCGGUGGUGUGAGAUGGAUCCG
rnacentral:rRNA from 1 species